rnacentral:rRNA from 1 species
GACGAACGCUGGCGGCGUGCCUAAUACAUGCAAGUAGAACGCACAGGUUAUAUCGUAGCUUGCUACACCAUAAACUGUGAGUUGCGAACGGGUGAGUAAGGCGUAGGUAACCUGCCUGGUAGCGGGGGCUAACUAUUGGAAAGGAUAUCUAAUACCGCAUAAUAUUAAUUAUUGCAUGAUAAUUGAUUGAAAGAUGCAAUGGCAUCACUAGCAGAUGGGCCUGCGUUGUAUUAGCUAGUAGGUGAGGUAACGGCUCACCUAGGCGAGGAUACAGAGCCGACCUGCGAGGGUGGUCGGCCGGACUGGGAGGGAGACACGGACCAGACUCACACGGGAGGCAGCCGGAGGGGAUCUUAGGCAAUGGACGAAAGUAUGACCGAGGAACGCAGGGUGAGUGAAGAAGGGUGUCGGAUCGUAAAGGUCGGUUGUAAGAGAAGAAAGGGUGUGAGAGUGGAAAGUUCACACUGUGACGGUAUCUGAACAGAAAGGGACGGCUAACUACGUG